GACGAACGCUGGCGGCGUGCUUAACACAUGCAAGUCGAACGGAAAGGCCCUGCUUUUGUGGGGUGCUCGAGUGGCGAACGGGUGAGUAACACGUGAGUAACCUGCCCUUGACUUUGGGAUAACUUCAGGAAACUGGGGCUAAUACCGGAUAGGAGCUCCUGCUGCAUGGUGGGGGUUGGAAAGUUUCGGCGGUUGGGGAUGGUCUCGCGGCUUAUCAGCUUGUUGGUGGGGUAGUGGCUUUCCAAGGCUUUGACGGGUAGCCGGCCUGAGAGGGUGACCGGCCACAUUGGGACUGAGAGACGGCCCAGACUCCUACGGGAGGCAGCAGUGGAGAAUAUUGCACAAUGGGCGGAAGCCUGAUGCAGCAACGCCGCGUGCGGGAUGACGGCCUUCGGGUUGUAAACCGCUUUCGCCUGUGACGAAGCGUGAGUGACGGUAAUGGGUAAAGAAGCACCGGCUAACUACGUG
rnacentral:rRNA from 1 species